GCAAAUUUUCAAAGAUGAUUUUUCUUUCCAUGUUAUUUUUUGUUUUGAUCAACGUAUUUAAAUGAAAACUCUUCAAAUCGUCAUUUACUUUUCUCAAACUAUAACUGUGACAAUCGAAAUUCAAAUGAUUAAAUAUCAUAGCUAUAUAGGAUGAUGUUAGAUGAGAAUAGAAAAAUCGAUAGAAUUAGUUUCAAACGAUCAUUCGCGACGACAUAUGCUAUUGUUGUUUCAAUUAAAAAUAAUUUUGUAAGGGUGUUCGGUUAAAUUUGUGAUCGAAUAAAAGAAAAAAAAAAGAAAGAAGAAGAAAAAAAGAAAAAAAAGGGACAAAAGAAUAAAAACAAGAGAAAAAAAAUGAAGAACGAGGAGAGUGUCGAACGAGAUGGACGAUGGACGUUUUUUCAUAAUUGGUUUAGUUGAUUUUCAAGAUACUGACGAAGAGGAGCAUAGAAGAUGAAUAGUUUUUAAAUAGAUAGAUUAUAAUAAUAAGAUAUUUUAUUUCGAUUAACGAUGAUGGACAUGG